GCUUGAUGUAGCAGCAUGUACUAAAUCUGGAAUGAUACAAAGAAGGUGAGCUGAUCUACUAAGCAAGGAUGACACAUAAAUUAGAUAUUCCACUUUUUUUU
ensembl:snRNA U6 U6 spliceosomal RNA